UUUAUGAUGGUGGUGAUGGGGUGGGGAAAUAUUUGUUAUAAAAGGAUUUGCUCGGUAUCAAGAAGAUACAAAAGAUUAACAUUUUCUUUACCGUGAACAUUGUGUUUUACGAUUGUUCAUUAAAUAUGAAUUCUUUCGUUUUUUAUUUGAUCACAUUUUUAUUAGCGACAUUAUUAUUAUCAACAAUUGCUCAUCCAUUGGAUAUCGAUACCGAUAAAUUAUUAAAUUUAUCUAAGAAUGGAACUGAAGUCAACUUACCUGAAAUUAGUUUACCCAAAGAAUUAGAUCAUUUGUUGGGUGGUGUCGAAAGAAGAAUUGACUAAAAUUACAAAAUCCCUUCGAAAAAUCGAUGGAAUCUGUUUCUAUAAUAAAUCCACCAUCAAUAUACUGUCCUGAUAAUCAAAAAUGUGACGAAUAUGGAAUCUGCUGUAUACACGUAUCAUCAAAAUGAACAAUCUAAUCAUUAUUCUAUCGAGAUAAUUAUAUUCAAUUGUAAUCAUUUUCUCUAAUAAAAUUGUCUGAUUACUUAUAA